GCAGGCGCGAAAACUCUACACUGCGGGAAACCGCGAUAAGGGGAUACUGAGUGCCAGCAUAUUAUGUUGGCUGUCCAUAUGUAUAAAUAGCAUGUGUUAGCAAGGGCCGGGCAAGACCGGUGCCAGCCGCCGCGGUAACACCGGCGGCCCGAGUGGUGGCCACUAUUAUURGGUCUAAAGGGUCCGUAGCCGGUUUGAUCAGUCUUCCGGGAAAUCUGACAGCUCAACUGUUAGGCUUCUGGGGGAUACUGUCAGACUUGGGACCGGGAGAGGUAAGAGGUACUACAGGGGUAGGAGUGAAAUCUUGUAAUCCUUGUGGGACCACCAGUGGCGAAGGCGUCUUACCAGAACGGGUCCGACGGUGAGGGACGAAAGCUGGGGGCACGAACCGGAUUAGAUACCCGGGUAGUCCCAGCCGUAAACGAUGCUCGCUAGGUGUNUGGGACGGUGCGACCGUUUCACGGUGCCGCAGGGAAGC
rnacentral:rRNA from 1 species